rnacentral:rRNA from 1 species
UACGGAGGGUGCGAGCGUUAAUCGGAAUUACUGGGCGUAAAGCGCACGCAGGCGGUUUGUUAAGCUAGAUGUGAAAGCCCCGGGCUCAACCUGGGAUGGUCAUUUAGAACUGGCAGACUAGAGUCUUGGAGAGGGGAGUGGAAUUCCAGGUGUAGCGGUGAAAUGCGUAGAUAUCUGGAGGAACAUCAGUGGCGAAGGCGACUCCCUGGCCAAGGACUGACGCUCAUGUGCGAAAGUGUGGGGAGCGAACAGG